GCUUCCGUAGCUCAGUUGGUUAGAGCUUCGUACUAAUACUCUCCUUAAGGUGCUGCAUUAGUGAUGCGAAGGUCCACGGUUCAAGCCCGUGCGGGAGCA